rnacentral:lncRNA from 10 species
UUUGGUGGCUGGGAGUAAGAAACUACACCUUAAAGAGGUCACAUCCUCCUGCUUACGUGACAACAUGUUGUGGUUUGGAAGUGAGAAGCUGCAAAUACAGACUUCCUUAAAGAUAGACCAAGGAUACACAAGGAACCACACCAAGGACACAGUAGUACUGAACCUGAUAGAUUCAAGACUUCAUUUUAAAAGCCUGAGUCAGUGUUGAAGUAUGAGGUGCAGGCGCCCUCUGCUGGUCAUUACAGGGAAAUGAGCCUUAAAGGCUUGUAACUCCAGUCACUGCAGCCAGAGCCUCCUCACCUUGGAGGAUCCCUGGAGCCUGAGCAGAGAAAUGCAGUGAAAGGUAUGUACCUGUGGUUUCCAGUGACAAAGAGUUCUGUGUCAGCUUCGGGUAGCAUGUGUCAACCUUCUCCAAGGCAAGGAUCAAAUAAUUAGGAUUAAGUACGAAGAAGGGGAAAUGCAGAACCCACAGUGAAGAGGAGCUACUUUAUUUUCUCAGCUCUUGGUAUUUACCAGGACAAGGGAUCUGUGCAAAAGGCUGAACCUGACAGUGCUGACAGGCCCGUGAGGCAACAGUUCCCAUGGAUGGCAGAGCAGGAGGUUAAAAACUUCCCUUUGACCUUGGGGCCCAGCUGGGAACAAGGGUGGUCCAUAGUGUUUCUGGGUGUCUUUACAAAUAGGGAUGGCAUGUCUAUUUUCUGCCAGCCACUGUGGCUGGCAUUUUCAUGUUAAGGCUACAAUCUGAUGAGGUUUAUUAAUCCUGUUUAACUGGUGAGAAAACCACAGCUCAGAGACCUCAGAAAACUUGUCCACGGCCACCCUGUUGCUCAGGGACUGCAUUGAUUUGCUAGGGCUACCAUAGCAAAACACCACAUACUGGUUGGCUUAAAUGACAGAAAUGUAUUUUCUCUUGUUUUAGAAGUUGGACAUCCAAGAUCAAAGUGUCAUCAGAUUUCAUGUCUCCUGAGGCCUCUGUCCUUGGCUUGCAGACAGCCGCCUUCUUAUUGCAUUCUCACAUGGCCUUUCCUCUGUGAACACAUAUCUGUGGUGUCUCUUUGUGUGUCUAAAUUUCCUUUUCUUUUAAGGAUACCAGCUAGACUGGAUUAGGGCCCACCCUAAUAUCCUCGUUUUGACUUAAUUACCUCUUUAAAGGCCGUAUCUGCAAAUGUACCCACAUUCUGAGGUAACUGAGAGUUGGGACUUCAAUAUGUGAGCUUGGGGAUGGCGGGGAUGGGACGGGGCACAACACAAUGCACCCUGGAACAGGGAGCAUGUCAGGCUGCACUCUCAGGCCUUCUGAUUUCAGUCCAUGUUCCCUUAUAGAGUUCAUGGAUGCUCUGUCCUCAAGCUUAGGCAAAGCAUUUUCAUAUGAUUUCAGUGAGAGUGCCAUGAACCUGAAUUUCAGGUUUCUAUAAGUCUGGGAGAAACCACCAUGGAAAUUGAGUCAAAUGGCUAUAUUUCUUGUGGCUUCCUUCUACGGUGUUGAACCAAAAUGAACAAGAUCUUAGCUCCAAAGUUUAUCGAAGAGUUAGGGGGUUAAAUCCCUGCCGAGAAACCACCUCUACAUUUGUAAGAAAAUAUACCCUGUCUUUUUUUUCUUGGUUUGAGCUGACCACCAGUGCCAGCGACCAGUUGUUAGGACAGACCCUCUGGGUGUUGGCACACAGGGGAAGGUCCUAUGUUUGUUCAACAGCCCAGAGGAAAUGACAGCCACACUCUGCACUGGCCUUUUGGAACAAA